UACGUAGGGUGCAAGCGUUGUCCGGAAUUAUUGGGCGUAAAGAGCUCGUAGGCGGUUUGUCGCGUCUGCUGUGAAAACUCGGGGCUUAACUCCGGGCCUGCAGUGGGUACGGGCAGACUAGAGUGCGGUAGGGGAGACUGGAAUUCCUAGUGUAGCGGUGAAAUGCGCAGAUAUUAGGAAGAACACCGGUGGCGAAGGCGGCUCUCUGGAACGGUACUGACGCUGAGACGCGAAAGCGUGGGGAGCGAACAGG
rnacentral:rRNA from 1 species